CCUACGGGCGGCAGCAGUGAGGAAUAUUGGUCAAUGGACGAGAGUCUGAACCAGCCAAGUAGCGUGAAGGAUGACUGCCCUAUGGGUUGUAAACUUCUUUUAUAUGGGAAUAAAAUGUUCCACGUGUGGGAUUUUGUAUGUACCAUAUGAAUAAGGAUAGGCUAACUCCGUGCCAGCAGCCGCGGUAAUACGGAGGAUCCGAGCGUUAGCCGGAUUUAUUGGGUUUAAAGGGAGCGUAGGUGGAUUGUUAAGUCAGUUGUGAAAGUUUGCGGCUCAACCGUAAAAUUGCAGUUGAAACUGGCAGUCUUGAGUACAGUAGAGGUAGGCGGAAUUCGUGGUGUAGCGGUGAAAUGCUUAGAUAUCACGAAGAACUCCGAUUGCGAAGGCAGUUCACUGGACUGCAACUGACACUGAGGCUCGAAAGUGUGGGUAUCAAACAGGAUUAGAUACCCUUGUAGUC
rnacentral:rRNA from 1 species